UGGAGAGUUUGAUCCUGGCUCAGGAUGAACGCUGGCGGCGUGCCUAAUACAUGCAAGUCGAGCGAAUGGAUUAAGAGCUUGCUCUUAUGAAGUUAGCGGCGGACGGGUGAGUAACACGUGGGUAACCUACCCAUAAGACUGGGAUAACUCCGGGAAACCGGGGCUAAUACCGGAUAAUAUUUUGAACUGCAUAGUUCGAAAUUGAAAGGCGGCUUCGGCUGUCACUUAUGGAUGGACCCGCGUCGCAUUAGCUAGUUGGUGAGGUAACGGCUCACCAAGGCGACGAUGCGUAGCCGACCUGAGAGGGUGAUCGGCCACACUGGGACUGAGACACGGCCCAGACUCCUACGGGAGGCAGCAGUAGGGAAUCUUCCGCAAUGGACGAAAGUCUGACGGAGCAACGCCGCGUGAGUGAUGAAGGCUUUCGGGUCGUAAAACUCUGUUGUUAGGGAAGAACAAGUGCUAGUUGAAUAAGCUGGCACCUUGACGGUACCUAACCAGAAAGCCACGGCUAACUACGUGCCAGCAGCCGCGGUA
rnacentral:rRNA from 2 species